GACGAACGCUGGCGGCGUGCUUAACACAUGCAAGUCGAACGGAAAGGCCCUGCUUUUGUGGGGUGCUCGAGUGGCGAACGGGUGAGUAACACGUGAGUAACCUGCCCUUGACUUUGGGAUAACUUCAGGAAACUGGGGCUAAUACCGGAUAGGAGCUCCUGCUGCAUGGUGGGGGUUGGAAAGUUUCGGCGGUUGGGGAUGGACUCGCGGCUUAUCAGCUUGUUGGUGGGGUAGUGGCUUACCAAGGCUUGGACGGGUAGCCGGCCUGAGAGGGUGACCGGCCACAUUGGGACUGCGAUACGGCCCAGACUCCUACGGGAGGCAGCAGUGGGGAAUAUUGCACAAUGGGCGGAAGCCUGAUGCAGCAACGCCGCGUGCGGGAUGACGGCCUUCGGGUUGUAAACCGCUUUCGCCUGUGACGAAGCGUGAGUGACGGUAAUGGGUAAAGAAGCACCGGCUAACAACGUG
rnacentral:rRNA from 1 species